rnacentral:rRNA from 1 species
GAUGAACGCUGGCGGCGUGCUUAACACAUGCAAGUCGAGCGAACAGACGAGGAGCUUGUUCCUCUGACGUUAGCGGCGGGCGGGUGAGUAACAAGUGCAUAACCUACCUAUCUGCCGGGGAUAACCUGGAGACGGCGGAGAUAACACCGGACAAUAUAGUUCACCGCAUGGUUUAACAGUGAAAGACGGUGUUGCUGCCUCUUAUAGAUGGAUCCGCGCCGGAUGGGCUUGUUGGUGAGGUAAAGGCUUACCAAGGCGAGGAUAGGUAAGCGACCGGAGAGAGGGAUCGGCCACCCGGGAACGGAGACACGGUCAAGACUCCUCGGGGAGGCGGCAGGAGGGAACCUUCGGCAGUGGGGGAAAGCCUGCCGGAGCAAGGCCACGUGGGUGAGGAGGGUCUUCGGUUCGUAAAACCCUGUUAUUGGGGAAAAACAACUGUGUGAGUAGCAAUACACGUCUUGACGGUACCUGAACAGAAAGCCACGGCUAACUACGUG